AAAGGGAGACCUAAUUCAGGUAAGAGACGAAAAAAAAGUAGUCGCUACCAAGAAUCAAUCCCAAAAGGUCGGAGCGAGGCAUAAGGCUUUCAAACUAGGUUCUGGGUUCACACAAGACCUGAAUCAGGAACAAGGGCUAUUAGCUCAGGUGGUUAGAGCGCACCCCUGAUAAGGGUGAGGUCCCUGGUUCGAGUCCAGGAUGGCCCACCUGCACAGGUGGCAAAAACAAGAGAAGCGAGGAAUCAGCACCUUAUCUUAUCUAUAUAUAAAUAUAAGUAAGAGAGAAUGCUGGCUCUGAGUAAAGAGUCCAGAGGAACCUUGAAAACUGCAUAGAGCUAGGUGAAAAAGCCAAAAAAGAAGACCGCAAG
rnacentral:tRNA from 1 species